AUACAGGUAGUGUAGUGGUUUGAGCAUUGGACUAUGACUCUGGAGAUCAGGGUUUGAAUCCCUGCUUGGCCA